UACGAAGGGGGCGAGCGUUGUUCGGAUUUACUGGGCGGAAAGGGCGCGCAGGCGGCUCAUUUUGUCAGGCGUGAAAGCCCCGGGCUUAACCUGGGAACUGCGUUUGAUACGGAUGGGCUAGAGUUCGGGAGAGGAGAGUGGAAUUCCCAGUGUAGAGGUGAAAUUCGUAGAUAUUGGGAAGAACACCGGUGGCGAAGUCGGCUCUCUGGACCGAUACUGACGCUGAGGCGCGAAAGCGUGGGGAGCAAACAGG
rnacentral:rRNA from 1 species